rnacentral:rRNA from 1 species
AUUGAACGCUGGCGGCAGGCCUAACACAUGCAAGUCGAGCGAGCGGCGGACGGGUGAGUAAUGUAUGGGGACUGCCCGAUAGAGGGGGAUAACUCCUGGAAACGGUGGCUAAUACCGCAUACUGUCGGAUACCCCAUAUGGGAUUAGCUAGUAGGUAAGGUAAUGGCUUACCUAGGCGACGAACCCUAGCUGGUCUGAGAGGGUGAUCAGCCACACUGGGACUGAGACACGGCCCAGACUCAUAGGGAGGCAGCAGGGGGGAAGAUUGCAGAAUGGGCGCAAGCCUGAUGCAGCCAUGCCGCGGGUGGGAUGAAGGUUGGCGGGUUGUAAACCUCUUGCGCUAUCGAACGGGUAGGUGGAGAAGAAGCGCCGGCUAACUACGUGCCAGCAGCCGCGGUAAGAC